rnacentral:lncRNA from 1 species
AAAGAAAGUAAGACAGUGCCCUCUCCCCUCAAGUCCUCAAAGUCAAACUUCCAAAGUUCAAUCUAGAGCAACAACACCCUUACGAAAGCUCUUUUUUAGUUGCAUAGUUCGAUUUUUUUUCUUCUUGUUAGUUAUCAUUUUAUCGUAGUCACUCAGUUGUUUGUUGGUCUUGAAGCUUAUUUGAUUUGUUGAGAUGUCAUUACUCAUAUGGUUUAUGUAACCAUGCAGUUAAGUGUAUGUAGCUAACAAACAAUUUUUGUUUAUGAAAUGAAUAUAUUCAUUUAUUUAUUUGACUAAAAACAAAGUGAAUAUAUUUAUCCUUUAAAUCAUUUAAUGACUUUAUACGAUAAUAUAGCUAUUAAUUAGAGUGAGGCUGAAUAUCUUCUCUUAUUUGCUUGCUAUAUUACAUGUUUAUCAACCAUAAUGGAAUUCCAACAUCUAGAACUUAUAUGUAGCCAUCUUUUGGAUCUACUAAUUGGCAACAUGUUGCCACUUGCAGUUUCAAACUUUGUCCUGCUCUGAAGGAUCCAUAUGAAAUGGAUUCAACUUUUUUUCGGUGUCUUGUUGGAAGUGCUUAUUAUGCACUUUUUCAUUAGUGUAUGCAUAUUAGAAAAGUACUUGUUAUGCUUUAGUUAUGUUGUAAAAUUGUUGAUUAUUCUUCUAUCUAAUUAAAUUUUUUUUUGAACAAUCUAUCUAAUCAAAAUUACACAAGCCUCUAACUACUUGAAGAGAUUUUGCUUCACAUUACUCUAUUUUGCUUUUGUAAGGGCUGCCUGCAUUUAUCAUUGGUUUUGUAUCUGCACUUUCUGCCCUUUCUCUUUAUACAUGUCCUGUUCUCAAGUCCUCAAACUUACCUUCCAAAGCGCUUUGUCUAGUUGCAUAGUUCUUUGACCCUUUUCAAACUGUUUUCUUCUUUUUAAUUAUCUUUUUAUCGUAGUCAUUCAACUGUUUGAUGAUCUUAAAACUUAUUUGAUUUGUUGAGAUGUCAUUACUCUUAUGGUUUAUGUAACCAUGAGCUUAAGUGUGUAUAUAUAUAUAUAUAUAUAUAUAUAUAUAUAUAUAUAAUUGUGUAGGGUUAUAUGGACAUGCAUGAUUACUUGCUUAGGUUGAUUAAAGGAUACAUUAAUCAUUAGCGUGGUCCAUACAUUUGUCCACGAUCAUUUUUUAAAGGCUUAAAUAUACGAAAGUUCCCUGCACUUACGAAUCAUUUGAGUUUUAGUCCCUACACAUUAAAAACAUUUCAUUUUGACCAUGCACUUUCAUUUUACUUUUAAAAUGGUACUUGAGCCUAGUUUUUAGCUGAUGUGACAUGUUUUUUGCACAGGUGACACUGAUGAUUGUGCUUCAAACAUGCUGUCUCAUAAAAACAUUAUGGAAGGAUGAAAAUGCCCUUAAUGACCAUGGGAACAUAUGAAAUUCCAAUCUUUCCCUUCUUCCUUCACCAUCAACCUUCAAACCCAGGUCAAAACUUCCAUCUUCAUCCUUUCUUUAUCAAACCUAAUAGCUCAUACACUAGCAUUAGAAAUCUUGAAAAUUCCAAAUUCCACUCUAAAAUAAGUAACAUAAGCUAAAAGCAAAAUAAAUUUUUUGUUAUGCUUAUGCAUCAUGAUUAUAAAUGAACAGAGAGAAAGUAAUGACCUCAUAGUCAUUUUUGUGAGCACCGGGAAUCUCAAGAGCUUCAACAUCGAAAGAAUCGAUUUGAGGACCAGUGCGAAUGAGUUUUUGUUCAGCGUUAUCUUCAACUUCGGAAUCAGGUACAAUGGCGCGUCCUCUGGAUCUCAAAUCGGCGUGCUAUUCCUCUAUAUCGGGCACGUCCUCAUCUUCAUCCGCUUGGAAAACCCAUCGAUGAGUCCAUCGAGAAUCUGCCAUUGAUUUCGCAAGUGUAGAGAUCCUUUUGCAUAUAUAACUAUAUAAGGCUUUUUGAAAUAACUGAUUUCGACAAUGCAAUAUUGGGAUCCACCCUUGAGUCAAAUGUGACUGAUAGCCUCAUUGAAUUCAGCUGUAAAUUUGAAAUACUUGAGUUGGAGGAUUUUUGCUAAUUAGCACCAAGUCACCGUAGAUAAUAGCAAAUAAACAUGUCAAGUUAAAAAUUUGUUUUUUAUUUUUACCAUGAAAAUAACUGAGAUAAGGUUUAUUUUACUAUUUUUAUUUAUCAGAUUUUUAAAAUUUUGUUUUUUACUUUUACAAAUUUGUUUAUAACAAAUUAAUUAAGAGUCUAUAUUAGUGUUCCAAUCAUCGACUCAAUCAACUUAUUCUUGAAUCAUAAAAAAAGAAAAUUACCUAUGGUCAAGCUCGGGUUAGUAUUCUCUAACUUUUUGGAGGGAAAGUCACAUAUCACUUUGGCUCUACGCCUCUACCUCUCUCCUCUUUUACACUUUCUCUUUCUUUUUUUGUCUAAAGUCACACCAAAGUUAUGAGAGGCAAAGUUAGAGAAUAUUUUUCCAGCAUUCUCUAACUUUCACAUAACCAUCUAUAUUACAACUUGAUUAGUAAUUAUUCAAAUUAAUCGCAGUGAGAACGAGUUAAGCAUCAUGGAUUGGUCAAAGAUGGAGAAAUCUUUUAAUUGGUCCAAAUUAAAACAAACCUUUCUCCAAAUUUAAAGCUAAAAAUUAAGCAAAAUCAAUCGUUAGUUGGUUCAGUGGUGAUUGUCGUUGAAUUUGGUAGGGAGGACCACAGUUCGAUCCCCGCAACUGCAAUCGAGAGGGAGCUAGAACUACCUGAUGCUAGAAUUGACCCCCGAACCAGACUAAACUAACGGUAAAAGAGGAAAAAAAAACGCCUAAAAAUUAAGCAAUGAUGUCGGAAGAACAAGUACUUUUAUUCUCUUUCAAACUCACUUUGCGAAAAAGAAUCAAAGAUGGAUGGUGUACAGUGUACUGUCUACCACAAAAAAUAAAAAGAUGGAUGGAUGGUGUCUGUUAAAAUAAAAUCAAUUUUUAUCCCGCCUUAAAAUUACUUAUUUUUUAACUAGAGACAAAACAGAUUCAAUAUUGAUAUGUUUUGCAAAUAAAGCAUAAUACAUUUUAUCACAUCAUAUUUAAUUACACUAUUGCAAACAGAUUCAAUAUUGAUAUGUUUUGCAAUCACAUACUGUAUAAUUAUUGCUAUACUUUGUCUAAAGCUCUCAAAUUAUUAGAACACGUAAUCAGGUGCCAAACCAUAUGAUGCUUAACUGGUUCUCACUGUGAUUGAUUUGAUUUGACCACACUAACCCUUCCACUUUGUUCUCUCUGUGCGUGCUAGCUGUAACUGCAUUAUUCUCAGAUUUCUAUGGCUGAAAAUGCAAAGCGUCUCAUCAUCGGAAUCGACCUUGGCACCACCUAUUCUUGCGUCGGAGUCUGGCACCACGGCGGUGUCCAAAUCAUCACCAACGACCACGGCAACCGGACUACCCCUUCUUACGUUGCUUUCACCGACUCCGAACGCUUAAUUGGCGAUGCUGCCAAGAGCCAGGUCACCAGGAACCCCGUCAAUACAGUCUUCGGUAUACCAUCUAUUCAACUUUUCUUUACCUUCACAUUUUGGCUGUUCUGUUUAAAUCUAUGCAGUAGCUGUGUGGAGUGUUGGAGACAUUUGCUCUGUUGAUUUCGAUACACUUAUUGCUUAAUUAAUUGAAUUGAAUUGAAUUGAUUUGUGCUUAAUUAUUAUAGAUGCCAAGCGUUUGAUUGGAAGGAGAUUCUCUGAUGCUUCCGUUCAGAGUGACAUGAAGCUAUGGCCAUUCAAGGUUAUUGCUGGUGGUACUGGAGACAAGCCAAUGAUUGUUGUUAACUACAAGAAUGAGGAGAAGCAACUCACUGCUGAGGAGAUUUCCUCCAUGGUCCUCCUCAAGAUGCGUGAGAUCGCCGAGGAUUUUCUUGGUUCCACCGUGAAGGACGUUGUUGUCACUGUUCCAGCAUACUUCAAUGACUCUCAGCGCCAGGCCACCAAGGAUGCUGGUGUCAUUGCUGGCCUUAAUGUCAUGCGUAUCAUCAACGAACCCACUGCUGCUGCCCUUGCCUAUGGCCUUGAUAUGGAGCCUGUCGUUGACGAUGAGGAUGAAAUGAACGUUUUGAUUUUUGACCUUGGUGGUGGUACUUUUGAUGUAUCUCUUCUAUCCAUUGUAGACAGUGUCGUUGAAGUUCUUGCCACUACAGGAGACAGCCAUCUUGGAGGUGAAGACUUCGAUAACAGGAUGGUUGAGAAUUUUGUUGAGGAAUUCAAGAGGAAGCAUGAGAAGGAAAUUAGUGGGAACCCGAGGGCUUUAAGAAAGUUGAGGACCGCAUGUGAAAGGGCAAAGAGGAUACUCUCAUCCACUGUACAGACCACCAUUGAGAUUGACUCAUUGUAUGAAGGUAUUGACUUCUAUACCACAAUCACUCGUGACAGGUUUGAAGAACUCAACAUGGACCUCUUCAGCAACUGCAUGGACACUGUUGAGCGGUGUUUGAGGGACGCUAAAAUGGACAAGAGCAGUGUACAUGAUAUUGUUCUUGUUGGUGGGUCAACUAGGAUCCCAAAAGUGCAACAGUUGUUGAAGGAUUUAUUCAAUGGGAAGGAACUCUGCAAGAGCAUCAACCCCGAUGAGGCUGUUGCUUAUGGAGCUGCUCUCCAGGCUGCUAUCUUGAACGAUGUGGAGAACAAGAAGGUUCAGGAGCUUACGUUGGUGGAUGUCACUGCCCUUUCACUUGGUGUGGAAACUGUUGGUGGUGUCAUGACUGUCCUGAUUCCAAAGAACCGUCCAAUCCCGUACAAGAAGGAGCAGGUUUUCUCAACCUACUCCGACAACCAGCUUAGUGUGUUGAUCAGGGUCUACGAGGGUGAGAGAACCAGUACCAGGGACAACAACUUGCUUGGUAAAUUCGAGCUUUCUGGCAUCCUUCCUGCUCCAAGGGGUGUUCCUCAGAUCAAUGUUUGCUUUCAAAUUGAUCACAAUGGUAUCAUGAAUGUCUCUGCUGAAGACCAGACUACUGGGAAGAAAAACAAUAUCACUAUUACAAAUGGCGAGGGCAGGCUCUCAAAGGAGGAGAUUGAGAAGAUGGUGCAGGAGGCGGAGAAGUACAAGGCUGAGGAUGAGGAGUACAAGAAGAACGUAAAGGCCAAGAUUGCCUUGGAACUAGCGGUGGAGAGGCACAGUUUUACAAAAGAUGCUCCAGAUCAACACUCGGAGGCGGAGAAGUACGAUUCUACAAAAGAUUCUCCAUACCUACGCUUGGAGGGGCAUGUGGUACAUGAUACUCGCCAUCAGGUUACAUUACCAACCCCAAGUUUACACCCCUUCCCUUCGGGAAACUUUGGGUAUUAUUUUAACUCUACAAAAAAGGCUUCACAGAAAAUUAUAGAGGCACUAAAAGAUGAUAAAUUCUAUGUAAUUGGAUUGCAUGGAAAGAAGGGUUCUGGUAAAACAUCAUUAGUGAAAGCUGAGAUGAAUGAGUAUGAAAAGAUUUUUCAUAGAGUUAUAUUUCCCACAGUUUCCAAUAACCAAGAUGCCAAGAGCAUUCAGGAGGGAAUUGCUAGCUCGCUGAAUGUGCAUUUUGAAAGAGAUGACAGUGAUGGCUUGAGAGCAAUGAAAAUAAUUAUGGCAUUAGAAAGGAAGGAUAGAACUAUUCUGGUCAUUUUGGAUAAUUUUCCGACAAAGUCUCAACCGCAGGAAUUAGGUAUUCCUUUUAGUAGCAGACAAUGCAAGGUUCUUUUAACCACACGUGACGAGGCAGACUGUGUCUUGAUGAGAUGUGACCAUUCUAUUUCUCUGGAUCCCUUAUCUAGUGAGGAAGCUUUGACACUGCUACAAAAACUUUCUGGUGUUAACUCUCAAUCUGCUCUAUUUGAAGUGGCACAGGAAGUUGCUUCUAAAUGCAAUGGCUUACCUGGAUUGAUUGAAAAGGUGGCGACUUCCUUGAAAAAUAAAUCCUUGGAAAAUUGGAAACAAUCAUUAGUCAGUCUAAGCCACUCAACUGCCCGCUACCAGAUUUUUAUCAGUUUUAGAGGAGGCGAUACUAGACAUGUUUUUACAAACCACCUCCAUUAUGCUUUGUGCCAGAAGGGGUUCAUGACCUUCAAAGAUGAUGAAUCAUUGGAGGGUGGGGUCCCAAUUGAGAAACUUCUUGACGACAUUGAAGAAUCGAGAUUUGCAAUUGUUAUUUUAUCCAAAAAUUAUGCAGACUCUGAAUGGUGUCUCAAAGAACUGGUCAAAAUUCUUGAGUGCAAGGAUAAGGAAAGUAGGAACCAACUUGUUUUGCCAAUCUUCUAUGAAGUACCGCCCACAGACGUAAGGCAUGUACGAAAUAGUUAUGCUGAUGCCAUGGCCAAACAUGUAAACAAUGGAAAAGAUUCAUAUAUAGUUCUAACAUGGAAGAAGGCUUUAUAUGAUAUUUGUACGCUGACGGGAUUUGAAAAGCCUCAUGACUGGUAAGUAGUUUACUUAUUUACUAUUAGUUAGACUUUAUGUGUUUCUGUAAUUACACUAAAUUUAUUGUAAAAUUCUGUCAAUUAAUACAUUAAUCCACUAAAAUCUUUUACCCAAAUACAUCCUUCUUAGUUAAAUUUCAUAAAUGGUGACUCAUCUACUAGUACAACCUCUUAAUAAUUUGAUAUGUUACCUCAUUUUUUAUAUUUUAAUUAUCUUAUUAAAUGUGAUUUUGUUAACAAAAAAUAAAACAAAAAUACUUCUUGCUUCAAUGUACUUUAAGUAUCUUGUGUGAUAUCAUAUAUUUUUUGUAAAGAAUAUUCAAUCAAGGUUAGUUUUAUAUAAGUUUUAUGAAAUGGAUUGCUAGUGAAAGAAAAUGAAAUUUGAACACAUCAUGAAUUGAAAUUAUUUUUUUAUAUGCUUUGUCAGGACCAGAGAUCAAUUUAUUGAUAAGAUUGUCAAUUUUGCCUGCGAUCACAGACAUCGCUUGCAUAUACAAAGCAUGUAUAUGAACUAGAAGAGAAAUUUCAGCUUCUCUUGCAAUGAGUGCAACACAAGACAAAACAGGUUACAAAUGGUUACCUGCUCAAAAAUGGACUAUUGUGGUUGUAAUUUAUUUUGGACACAGUUCUUGGGAGAUUUUCACAAAGCAUCUGUAUGAUCCUUUGUGUAAGGAGGGAAUUCAUACCUUCUAAGAUGAUCAAUCAUUGGAGGAGAGGCCCCAAUUGAGGAACUUCUUGGAGCCAUUAAAGAAUUAAUGUUGGUGGACCACUACACUGUUUUUGGAUGAUGGAUUUAAUGGAAGGAAUGUUGUUGUCUGAAGAUGCUCCCAUGAAUUUGGUAGAUGAGUAGUGUGGUAGUGUUCCCAAUUGAUGACGGCAGUGGCGGUCGCAUUCUCGUACUCUGCCUGCACCUCUCUUUUGCUCACUCGUUCCUCUCUCUCACUUCAUCUUCUUCCAUCUCUUAAGGUGAAAUUUCAAAUACGGUUUUAUAGUUUUCGAUUUCAAAUUGGUGAAUUUGAUUCCCUGUUAUCAUGUUUUGUGGAUCUGGAUCUCAUUUAUGAUACUUACUCUGCAUUUGAACUGACUAAUUCCUUUCUCUAGUGUUUCCUUUCUCAAUGAUUUUUGUUAUCUGCUUCUUUGCCUAAUCAACUCAAUAUGCUGUGGCUGUGAAAUUUGUCAAUUUUAUGUGAUUAAUUGUAAUUCAUUAGUCAGAUAUAUAGGAAUCUUAGUACAUUUCCAUUAUGGUACUCAACCAAGAGAGCUUCAGCAUACAUUAUUGUUAUGUCUUCUUACUCAGCAUAUGGUACUAUUUUUUGUUUUGUUUUUGCAACUUGCUAGUAGCUUUUACAUACAUGAAGUGCGAUAUCUGUUAACUGAUGUUUAAUCAGUUUCUUGAUUUUGUUAGAUAGCUAACAUAUGGUGGUUAUGUCACAGUUAUGUUAUUCAUAUAUGUUAACUGAUGAAGUCAACAACACCCCACAUGUUAUGCAAUACUCACUGCUUCUGGUGGAUUUGGUGUCUUGUUGAGCAGCUGAAGAUUUCUUUCCUCCCCUGGUAAUUAUGAAUGCAUUUCUUUUCUCUUGGAGAUAUAGGUUAUUUAAUAUGCACAGAAGAAGGGUGAAAGCUAUAUUGUCCAGUGAAGUUUCCACAUCCAUUCAUGUGACGCCGUGGUUAAUUCUGAUGGAGUUGACUCCCGAACAACAAAGGAGGAAAGAAGAACAUCUGAUGAGAUCGCCGCCCUAGUUAUCCUCGAUAAUCUCAAAGCUUUAGUUCUAGACUCAUACAACAGAUUCCCCAUUGAUAAGCUUCUUGAAGCCAUUGAAGAGUCAAGGUUUGUAAUUGUUGUUUUGUCAGAAAAUUUUGCAGACUCUAAAUGGUGUCUUAAAGAACUUGUCAAGAUUCUUGAUUGUCGAAAAACGAAGAAACAAUUGGUUUUGCCAAUUUUUUAUGAAGUGGAACCAACCGACACAAGGCAUCUACAAGGGAGGUAUGGUGAAGCUAUGGCCGAACAUGAAAAAAAGUUAGCCAAAGAUUCUAAGAGGGUAUUGGAAUGGACAUUAGCUUUGAGUGAUAUUUCCCAACUGAAAGGAGAACAUUUCCGCAUUUCCAACUUCAAAGGAGAGCAUUACAAAAGGUACGUAUGUUGGCAAUUAAAUCGAAUUUUAUGUUUUUUACAAAUAUUUAAAGAUGGUGUUGGGCCGGCUGAAGAUGAAGAGUUUGACUAGCUCACAGCUUGUACACACUUUUAUUAUUAAUAUAAGUGUUGACUUUUAAAAGAAGUAAAAAAAACCUUUUAAUGAGUAAUCUAUAUCUAAAACAUAAAUGAUAAGGUGUUGUAUAUACUUUUUUACAGGUACAGAGAUCAACUUAUUGGAAAGAUCAUAAGAUUUGCCCAUAAUAACAAACAUCGCUUGCAUAUACAAAGCAUGUAUAUGAACUAGAUGAAAGACUUCUGCCAAUAUUAUAUUUGGAGCUGUUGUUGAUGAUCGUUACACCGGAGAGAUUCAUGUGACUAUCAUUGCCACUGGCUUUUCACAAUUUUUUCAGAAGAAGCUGCUAACAGAUCCAAUGGCUGCAAAACUUCUUGACAAAGUGGCCGAGGGAAAAGAAAGUAAGACAGUGCCUUCUCCCCUCAAAUCCUCAAACUUAUGUUCCAAAGUUUAAUCUAGAGCAACAACACCCUCACGAAACCUCUUUUUUAGUUGCAUAGUUCGAUUUUUUUUUCUUGUUAGUUAUCAUUUUAUUGUAGUCACUCAGUUGUUUGAUGGUCUUGAAGCUUAUUUGCUUUGAGAUGUCAUUAUUCAUAUGGUUUAUGUAACCAUGCGCUUAAGUGUGUGUAGCUCACAAACAGUUUUUGUUUGUGAAAUGGAUAUAUAUGUUGAUUAUUCUUCUAUCUAAUCAAAA